CUCAUGACCCGAUUUUUUCCCCCUUGCAAGUGACGACUUUACUCUGCAUAAUUUCUAAUAAGAUUGAAUUAUACAUUUUACCCUAGCAUAUGUACAAUCCAUAAUUAUUCCGAAUAUGUGUAAUGAGAAGAGUUUGUUUAGUGCGAAAACAUUUAGAUUUCAAGGAGGUGAAAAUAGUUGGCAAAAAAAAGGAUUAAAAUUCGUUUAACACAGACUUGAUUAAAAUAGGUGGCACAGAGGAACAGUUUUACUAUCAUGUUUUUAUUCAGCUUUUAUGCCUUUUCAAAUGCAACAUUCAGAGAGGCAGAUUACUCAGACUGAAGCAGUAUUGCUCUCUGAGAAAGGUUAACAUGCUGCUCGUAGCUGAAGUUGUGUUUGUUUAUACAAUCAUUUUCUCUUGGUUUUUACAAGUUUAUUGUUCAUCUGGAGACCCCUUUCAGUUAGAAGCAGCAAAUUUUUUUCUCCAUCUGCUUAACAUCUCUGGGAAAAUCAAUUGUUCUGUUGCAAAACUGAAACACACAUUUUCCACUUUUCAGCCAACUGUUGCUCUUUUGCACAUUUGAACUCUAACAGUAGUUCAUUGUGAAAGCCUAUAUAACUUUCUUUUGCUGGUGUCAGUAGCAGGAACCAAUCAGCCCCCAAGAAAUUAAAAGUUUUUUGAUAAAGAGGGGAUACAUGGCUACUAAUGAAUUAUCGAUCAAGCUCUUGAUUGAUACCAAGGCUCAGAAAGUCUGUUUUGUUGAGGCUGGCAAUGACGUAGUCAAGUUCCUCUCCUGCCUCCUGUGCCUCUCGGUGAGCACCAUUUUCAACCUGCUUACCAAGGAGCGCAUGGUUGGCAGCAUUGAUGCUGCACCUAUAACUUAAAAUGCCAAGCCCCAAACUAAGUCCUUCAAGGUUCUCACUGGAGAUUUCCACAAGGAGUUGGUAAACUUUCAUUGUAUAUAUUUCUGAAGUACCUUGGCCAACAAGCUUCAAGACUUCAAAGUUAUCGAGUCCAAUACCCUCAGCCACAGGGGCUAUCACGCGUGGUAGCGCCGCGCCAUCUUUCUAGUAUUUUCUAAUCGCUCAUCGCAAGGCAACAAAAUAGGAAUC